rnacentral:tRNA from 1 species
GCCUGGGUGGCUCAGUUGGUUAAGCAUCUGACUUCUGCUCAGGUCCUAACCUCAGGGUCCUGGGAUCGAGCCCCAUCUCGGGCU